rnacentral:misc_RNA from 1 species
UUUCCGUAGGUGAACCUGCGGAAGGGUCAUUAUUGUAUAACCGAGGUUCGAGGGCUCUCGUUUACCCAACUGGUCGUGCACGCACGAGUGCCCUCCCACACAUCCAUUUCACCCAUAUGUGCACAACCGCGCGCGUCUCCCUUUGGCCUGUCCGGAGGGGGGCUAACGUUUUCAUACCAAUUUUGUAUGAAGCGCUGAAUGUAUUUUUUGUUUUUGCGUUCACGCAGUCAAUAUAACCUUCAACAACGGAUACCUAGGCACUAGCAUCGAAGAAGAAAC